rnacentral:rRNA from 1 species
GGGAAUUUUGCGCAAUGGGCGAAAGCCUGACGCAGCAACGCCGCGUGAGUGAUGAAGGCCUUCGGGUCGUAAAGCUCUGUCAGAGGGGAAGAACCACCUGUCGGUUAAUAUCCGGCAGGCCUGACGGUACCCUCAAAGGACGCACCGCAGAACACCGUGCCCGCAGCCGCGGUAAUACGGAGGGUGCAAGCGUUGUUCGGAAUUAUUGGGCGUAAAGCGCGUGUAGGCGGUCUGUUAAGUCUGAUGUGAAAGCCCCGGGCUCAACCCGGGAAGUGCAUUGGAAACUGGCCGACUUGAGUACGGGAGAGGGUAGUGGAAUUCCGAGUGUAGGGGUGAAAUCCGUAGAUAUUCGGAGGAACACCGGUGGCGAAGGCGGCUACCUGGACCGAUACUGACGCUGAGACGCGAAAGCGUGGGGAGCAAA